GGAGAGGUGGCAGAGUGGUCGAAUGUACCUGACUCGAAAUCAGGCGUGGGGGUAACUCCACCGUGGGUUCGAAUCCCACCCUCUCCGCCA
rnacentral:tRNA from 1 species